UACAGAGGUGGCGAGCGUUAUUCGGAAUUAUUGGGCGUAAAGGGCGCGUAGGCGGCCAAGCAAGUCCUGGGUGAAAUCCCUCGGCUCAACUGGGGAGGGUCACUCGAUACUGAUCGACUUGAAGGCAGGAGAGGGAAGCGGAAUUCCCGGUGUAGUGGUGAAAUGCGUAGAUAUCGGGAGGAACACCAGUGGCGAAGGCGGCUUCCUGGCCUGUUCUUGACGCUGAGGCGCGAAAGCUAGGGGAGCAAACGGG
rnacentral:rRNA from 1 species